AUUGAACGCUGGCGGCAUGCUUUACACAUGCAAGUCGAACGGUAACAGGUUAAGCUGACGAGUGGCGAACGGGUGAGUAAUGCAUCGGAACGUGCCCGGUCGUGGGGGAUAACGCAGCGAAAGCUGCGCUAAUACCGCAUACGAUCUAAGGAUGAAGGCGGGGGACCGUAAGGCCUCCCGCGUUCGGAGCGGCCGAUGUCAGAUUAGGUAGUUGGUUGGGUAAAGGCUCACCAAGCAAACCAUCUGUAGCUGGUCUGAGAGGACGACCAGCCACACUGGGACUGAGACACGGCCCAGACUCCUCCGGGAGGCAGCAGUGGGGAAUUUUGGACAAUGGGCGAAAGCCUGAUCCAGCAAUGCCGCGUGCAGGAAGAAGGCCUUCGGGUUGUAAACUUCUUUUGUACGGAGCGAAAAGGUCUCCUCUAAUACAGGGGGCUCAUGACGGUACCGUAAGAAUAAGCACCGGCUAACUACGUGCCAGCCGCCGCGGUAA
rnacentral:rRNA from 1 species